UGAUUAUCUGCAGAGUCCACACUGCAGACUGGAGACUCUGAGAUUGAGUUGCUGCAGUUUGUCAAAGAUCAGCUGUUCUUCUCUGGACUCAGCUCUGAAGUCCAACUCCUCCCAUCUCAGAGAGCUGGACCUGAGCAGAAACCAGCUGCAGGAUUCAGGAGUGAAGCUGCUGCGUUAUCUUGAGAAGACUUGAUUUGACUGGAGACUUUGAGGACUAAGGACUGUGGAUAAACAUCUUGGUUACUUUUUACCAAGAAACAACCAGGAACUGAUUAAUGAUUUAAGUCUCCCUCUCAGACAAGCUCUGGAAGACAGGAUAUUAUAAACUUUUACAAUGCCUUGAGUAAACAACCAAGCGGAAACAGAACACUCUGCUAUCUACGAAUUGACCCUAAAGACAUGAACUGUGACCGAAACCAGUCUCUGCAAAGUCAUAAAAAUUGACCAUCUGUUGAACGACUGCUGAAGAACUGAUUAAACCACAGUGUUUAAUUCUGUA